GUGCCUCUAGCUGAGUUGGUUAGGUGGCUUGAUUAGCACUCCUUAGGUCCUAGGUUCGACUCCGCGUGGGAGCG
rnacentral:tRNA from 7 species